rnacentral:rRNA from 1 species
AUUGAACGCUGGCGGCAUGCCUUACACAUGCAAGUCGAACGGCAGCACGGGAGCAAUCCUGGUGGCGAGUGGCGAACGGGUGAGUAAUACAUCGGAACGUGCCCAGUAGUGGGGGAUAACCCGGCGAAAGCCGGACUAAUACCGCAUACGACCUACGGGUGAAAGCAGGGGAUCGCAAGACCUUGCGCUAUCGGAGCGGCCGAUGUCAGAUUAGCUUGUUGGCGGGGUAAAAGCCCACCAAGGCGACGAUCUGUAGCUGGUCUGAGAGGACGACCAGCCACACUGGGACUGAGACACGGCCCAGACUCCUACGGGAGGCAGCAGUGGGGAAUUUGGACAAUGGGCGCAAGCCUGAUCCAGCCAUGCCGCGUGCGGGAAGAAGGCCU